GUGCCAGCAGCCGCGGUAAUACGUAGGGUGCAAGCGUUAAUCGGAAUUACUGGGCGUAAAGCGUGCGCAGGCGGUUUGCUAAGACCGAUGUGAAAUCCCCGGGCUCAACCUGGGAACUGCAUUGGUGACUGGCAGGCUAGAGUAUGGCAGAGGGGGGUAGACUUCCACGUGUAGCAGUGAAAUGCGUAGAGAUGUGGAGGAAUACCGAUGGCGAAGGCAGCCCCCUGGGCCAAUACUGACGCUCAUGCACGAAAGCGUGGGGAGCAAACAGGAUUAGAUA
rnacentral:rRNA from 1 species